rnacentral:lncRNA from 1 species
CCAAAGUGCUGGGAUUACAGGCAUGAGCCACCAUGCCUGGCCUAAAUGAUGUGUUUUUAAAUGUGUGGAAUAACUGUGUGCAAGGUCAUAGAGGAGAUGCUGAAGAGAGAAAAAUAAAGGAUGUCCUUCAAGGCCUCAUGUAACUACAGGGGUCCAAAUAGGCCUUUCCACAGAAGAAAACCUGUCUGCCUCCAUCACCAAACAACCUAUUCAUCAAAAGGAAAAUAUCAUACCAUUACUUGUGACAAGCAAUUCUGAUCAGUUUUUGACAACUCCAGAUGGUGACGAGAAGGACAUAACGCAGGACAAUUCUGAAUUAAAACACAGAUCC